rnacentral:misc_RNA from 1 species
GAUGAAGAACGCAGCGAAAUGCGAUAAGUAAUGUGAAUUGCAGAAUUCCGUGAAUCAUCGAAUCUUUGAACGCACAUUGCGCCCGCCAGUAUUCUGGCGGGUAUGCCUGUUCGAGCGUCAUUUCAACCCUCGAACCCCUCCGGGGGGUCGGCGUUGGGGAUCGGCCCUGCCUCUUGGCGGUGGCCGUCUCCGAAAUACAGUGGCGGUCUCGCCGCAGCCUCUCCUGCGCAGUAGUUUGCACACUCGCAUCGGGAGCGCGGCGCGUCCACAGCCGUUAAACACCCAACUUCUGAAAUGUUGACCUCGGAUCAGGUAGGAAUACCCGCUGAACUUAAGCAUAUCAUAAGCGGAGGA